rnacentral:tRNA from 1 species
GCGGCUAUGGCGGAAUUGGUAGACGCGCUACUUUGAGGGGGUAGUAUCAGUAAAAUGAUAUGUGAAUUCGAAUUUCACUAGCCGCACCA